CGCGUAGGCGGUUUGAUAAGUCAGAUGUGAAAGUCCAUGGCUCAACUGUGGAAGUGCAUUUGAAACUGUCAGACUUGAGUAUCGGAGGGGAAAGUGGAAUUCCCGGUGUAGAGGUGAAAUUCGUAGAGAUCGGGAGGAACACCGGUGGCGAAGGCGACUUUCUGGACGAAUACUGACGCUGAGGCGCGAAAGCGUGGGGAGCAAACA
rnacentral:rRNA from 1 species